rfam:Flavobacterium sp. LM5 Flavobacterium_sp_LM5_contig1, whole genome shotgun sequence.
CCCUAGCCCGGAUGGGAGCGGCAUCCUCUUGGGGCGGGGUUCGCCCUAAGAGAUAUAGCGGACAGCCGGAAAUAGC